rnacentral:rRNA from 1 species
AACGGAGAGGGCAAGUGUUACUCAUAAUGACUGGGUGUAAAGGGUACGUAGGUGGUUAAGUAAGCGAUGAGUGAAAUAAAAGAGUAAUUGCUUUGGGCGCUCGUUGAACUACUUGGCUAGAGUGUUUUUGAGGGUACUGGUAUGUUUGAUGGAGAGGUGAUAUUCUGCGAUAUCAAAAGGACAAUCGAAGGCGAAGGCAAUUACCUAGGGGACACUGACACUGAGGUACUGAAGCGUGGGGAGCGAAUCGG